CCUUACGCAAAAACCCUUCGCAAAAGCCCUAAUCUCUUUCUCUCCUCUCCAAGAAGGAAAAAAAAAAACCCCAAAUCGAAAGAUCCGAAUCGUUCAAUGUCCGCCGCCAGGUCAGUCUUCCGCUCCGCCGCAAGCCGAGCAUCCGCCGCCGCGUCGAGGUUCUCCACCGGACCCAAGCCUAUGCCAUCAUCGGCACGUUCCGCGUUUCGGAUGCCUAAACAGAGCCCUCUUUCAAACCGCAUUUUCAGAUCACCCGUGGAACUGAGCAGUUGUGUGGAGACGAUGCUCCCUUACCACACUGCCACUGCUUCAGCUUUGCUCAAUUCGAUGCUCUCAGCUUCACGCCGUGGUUGGAUCGUUGAAGGGCUAGACGAGACUAGAUGAAAGAACUAUCAACAAGAGUGAUAUUGCAAUGAUGAUGUAUGAUGAAAUUACUGGGGAGAGGUCAGCGAUGCAUGCAGUCUAAGACAAGAUGGAUGACUCUUCUUCUCACCAUUGCAGUAGCCAGGAAGAUUUGUUUUAAGAGUUGUUAGACCACUUGUGUUGAUUUUUAAACCAUAAGAAGUGGUUCCUGCAAAUGUUUUCUACUACUUUAUUUACCUUUAUAAAUAUCAAGUGAAUUUCUUGAAUCAGUUAACAUGAGUUCUUACUUCUUACA